rnacentral:rRNA from 1 species
AGAGAGAGACAUGCGUGCAUAUCAAUAAGCGGAGGAAAAGAAACUAACAAGGAUUCCCCUAGUAACGGCGAGUGAAGCGGGAAGAGCUCAAAUUUGAAAUCUUAAAGGGUUUCCCUUUACGAAUUGUAGUUUAAAGAAGUGUUUUCUGUUGAGGUUUUGGUAAAAGUUCUUUGGAAUAGGACAUCAUAGAGGGUGAGAAUCCCGUAUUUGACCUUUACUUUCAACUUUGUGAUACACUUUCAAAGAGUCGGAUUGUUUGGGAAUGCAGUCCAAAAUGGGUGGUAAAUUUCAUCUAAAGCUAAAUAUUGGCGAGAGACCGAUAGCGAACAAGUACCGUGAGGGAAAGAUGAAAAGAACUUUGAAAAGAGAGUUAAACAGUACGUGAAAUUGUCAAAAGGGAAGCGUUUGACACCAGUGUUGUUUUUCUGAAAAUCAAUUAAAGAACUGUUUAUGCUAAGUUGUUUAGACUUUAUCAGCUAACUGUUUAGUUUUGAGCUUUUCUUUAAUGCACUUUUCAGUUAACAAGUCAACAUCAAUUUCUUUUGCUGUAAAAAAGCUUGAGGAAGGUGGCUUGAGAUUCGUCUUAAGUGUUUAUAGCCUCUUGCCUAUGCAGUCGGAGAGAUUGAGGUCUGCAGCGUAGAUCCUUCGGGGCUAAAUGCAUUUGUGCUAAGUUAUAGCAUUCUAUAGACAACUUGUUGACUAUGAUUUGUCUUGUAGCUUACUCGCUUAUGUUAUUUUACCUACGCUUAGGAUGUUGACGCAUGAGAUAUACGC